CACAGCAACUGACCUGGAUGGGUACCAAAGACCAUAAAAAUUUGAAGGCUGUACUCUAUCUAGCAUUAAGAAAGCAAAAGAAAAAACUAAUGAUGUAGACAACUUGUUUACAAGAUUUAAGAUGCAAAUAAUGCAUUUCUAAAAUUAAUUUAUUUGAAUAUUUAAUCUUUGGUAUUUUUCUUCUGUUCCUAAAUUCCUGAGAGUUUCUGCAAUUUCUGUAUUUGCUUUGGAACUCUCACUGAAGAACUUCUGUCCUUAGAGUCUUGCACAGUUAUUUCCCCCUGAGAGAAGGCAGCCAGAUUAUAAACAAGUGGCAAACUUCUGCGGAGAAGUCCACAGAGGCAAAUACAAAAAUGCUUGUAGCAACAGAUGAAGCUGGAAAAGGAAAGAGAGGAGUCCAUGUUGAUUAAAAGUAUGUUACUAUUUAGACAGAAUAAUAUUGGAAAAUCCUUUUGUGAUGUAUGGAUCUUCCUUACAAAUACUUGUAAGUUUUAGUAUAGCUGUGAUACAAAGAAAGAAGGGGACUUCUGGCCAUAGCUGGGUCUUGCAGAUGAAUAGAUGCAGAAUGUCACCUUAAUCAAAUGGGAGCUCUGACAGACACUUCUAAACCUCAGCACUCUUCCAGCUCAUGCCUCGCUGGAUCUGCAUGGCUGGUGACUUUACCAAGCUUCAGAGAGCUGUUUUUAGCUAGAUUGCUACAAAUAAGAAAAAAGUUGUUACUACUUUUUGUCUAAAAGACUAAAAUGUGUCUUUGCAAGAAAGUUGGUGCAAGAUUCCAAAACAGUCAGGAUGAUCCCACUGUCUUCUUAUAGAAAAAUAAAAAACAAGAGAGAGAGAGAGAGAGAGAGAGAGAGAGAGAGGGGGGGGGGGGGGGGGGGGGAGAGAGAGAGAGAGAGGAAAGAUCCUAAAUACUCUACAAAACUAAUUAAAAAACCAACAAAACCCCAAACUCCAACCUAUCCACCUUUCUCCAAACAUAUCACUCAACAUGCUCCACAUAAUUCACAAAUACUGACAAAUAAGCAUUUCCUUGAGUGGAGAAGCCAUAAAAUUUGUUGCCCAAUAGAAACUGUCUGCAGAUCCAGCUCUUGCAAGGGUGUUGCCACUGAAAUGGCUCUUCCACAAGCAGUGUAGUAAUAGAUCCUCUCUUUCUCCGGCUGCUAACAUCCUAGAAGUUUUAAAAAAAUAUUUAGUUUUAAUUUUCUAUUUCAAUAUUAGGAUUUUUUUUCUGAAAUUAGGUAACACUUUUAAGAAGAAAGAAGGGACUGAUUAAUUUUAUCACCCUGCAUGCCUCCCUGAUUUAAGAACACAGGUCAAAUAACUUUAUAUACUGUACACAGUGUGUGAGUGCUUUGGUGGAGAUUAGUAGCAAUCUCUACCAAAACUAGCUAGCUAGUUUGCUGUUGCAGCUAUUGGUAGAGUAACAAAAUCUGGUUCCCCUAUGACUGCAAAUAAUCCUAAAAUGGAUAUCUCCACAAGGUUCCUUCCAUACACAGGUAUUUGCUAAUUAAAUCUCCUGGCUGACCUGUGGCAAAGAUGUGCAUACUCACCUUUCAGAAGCAGUCGGUGGGUGCAGUUAUAGGAGUUAAAAAAAGAAAAUGUUUGCCUAUAUUUUCUAAUAUAUGCUUUGUGCAUUAACUGCAUGACUACUUAGAAAGUGCUGUCAGCUCCUUGGGAGCUGGAGUCUACAGUAUCUGGAAUACAUCAGACCCUGACUACCUGAAAAUACAGCUGUUCAGGCCAGAGCUACCUAGCCACAUAAAUACAGAAGUAAAUACAUUUAUUCAUGUACACAUAAAGAAGCAUACUUUUUCCUUUCAGCCCAGAUGAUUCUUUGAUUUCUUCACCAUAUAAUGUGAUAUUAGUUAUCCAUUCCAUUUUCAGUGUGUGUAUGGUGCCCAUCCUGCCUAGAGAUCACAGAAUCACAGAAGACAUGAAGGCUAGGUAAUGAAAGUGAUAUAAAUUUUGCAGUUGUCUUUAGCAUGACAACAACAAUGGCAAAGAUUUUAAUUUCUUCCUCCCUUAUCUCCAUUCUACCAGAUACCUCAAAAUUGUGUUUUCAUAGGAGAAGAAAGCCCACACCACAGUAGCUCGCUCCUAGACACUUAUAUUAAAUAAACAUGUAUUUAAUAACUAUUUAUUCAGAUAUUUUAUUGCACACAUAUAACUGAAAAAAAAUGUACAGGUGCUAUUACUAAUUCUCAAAACUUUUUGCACAUCUUGGCAGUCAUGCCCAUAAUUUACUAUUUUGUUAAGUAAGUCCACAGUUCUUAGUUACUAAUUAUGUGUUACUCCAAGCCACAGGAUGUACAUUACAUUCAUACAUGCAGGAACUAAAAUCAAAAUUAAUCUCCCAAAAACCAUUUAGCAUUCUUUCUUCACUGGAAAUAAAAGCCUUAUAAAUAUUACUUUGGUGCAUUAGUUAUCAAAUUUCCUCUUUAAGCCUUUCUUUCUGCAAAAGCUUUUACUAAAGAGCCCAGUGCAUUAAAUCUGAACACCUGUCCAGCUUUUAUUUGCAUGGAUUGAAAAAAAAAAUUUUUGAUUGGAUUGUGGUAUGUGAAAAAUAAUUUUAGAGAGAUGCCAAUAUAUAAACCAAAUUCUUGGUGAAUAUAGAGCACACCUUGAUUUUCCCAUACACAGCAAAUAAAUUUCAAAGUUUUAAUGCUGUUAGGAGGACUUAGUAUUAGUCUUUGUAUACAGUUAUGUCAUUACACAUUUCUUGGUGUAAGUUUGAGGAGAAAUAUUGACUUCUUUAUGCUGGCCUUAAAUGACUCCAGGUAUAGUUCCUAAAUCCAUAUGCCAGUACAGAAAUAACCAGCUAAGUUUUAGAGCUUUGAGAAUGCAUUAGCUUCAAUCAAAUUUCCAGAUACUUUACACAUCAUAAUAUUUCUAAAGUACUUUGCUUCCCUAAACAACAGCACACCCCCUUGAAUUCUGACCAUACUGUCCAUUUAAACUAAUUAUUAUAUUUGUUUUGGGAACAAAUGUAACUGUUGCCUAUUAUGUAAACAAAAAUACCAUUGUCCAGUUUUAUCAGCUUCAACAUAAUUGACUGCACCCUCCAAAAAAUUAAAUUUUAACUGUAAUUGUAUCAUCUGCUAUUGUGUUUGCAGAUACUGAGUCUCCAUUCUCUUAAAUAUGCUACAUUUUAUUUGAGGCACUGUAUGCAUCUCAUUUCACAGAGAUGUAGUAAAGAAAAUAGGAAAGGAUAAAGUGGAUGGUGGUUUGUUGGUUUCUUUUUCCUCUAAAACAUACCUAGAACAUCCUGCAUUGCAAGAGGCAGGGUUGCUUAGUAGUACAAUUCAUAAGGAAGACAGACAUUGUCUUGCACGAUCUCUUGAAAUGGAAGCUUUCUUCAGUCUGCUAUCAGGAUUAGUUGCAGGAAGAGGAAAGAUCAGCUAUCCUUCCAGUCGCGUCAAUGAAUCUUGGAGUUAAACAUCUGAGUGAAGAGUAACAGAAAACAAAAGGAAAAAGUCAGACCUUAGUGAUAAGGUGAAAUUAGACAUGAAAAUAAUUAGUUCUGCCAUAAUUAUUGUAUUCUCUGACAGUGAUAUAGAGUUUCUGUCAAAUGUGAUUUAAAGCUAGGAUGGGAUAAUCUAAUCCAUUUAGGUUGCUGAUUCAAUGUUUUUUCUUAAGUACUUUAAUGCUAAAAGGAAAAUAUGUAGUUAAUAUUAAACACAUGCUAAGUAAGAAUGUUAAGUAUCCUAUUGCAAAAAAAAUUCAAGUAUCAUACUGCAAAAUAAAUAUCGACUGCAGUCUCCUUUGUGGAGAGCAGCCCUCUACUUCUCAUAUGAAGCAUUACUUUGGCAAUUGGAGAGCAAGUUUCAAGGCUGACUACAACCAACAAUUAAUGUGAAGAUCCAGUGAUAGCAAACAAAACAUGGAACAAGUGUGCUUACUUCCCUUGUAGCCUCCUCUCCCCUGGUAUAUUGGUGUCACAGGCAGCUUCAGCCAGUAUCACAUAUCUUUAGAGUCACUCAGCUUCUGCUGACACCAUUAUAGAAUAUGGUAUCCCAGACUUAUUUCUUUCAAAAUUGUGUGAAUUCAACCAAAAACUUCUUUUAAACUUAAGUGAAUCCCAUUUAAAAUUAAAAGCAGUGUAUUUUUAGUUCCUAAACACUUUGCUUCAGAAGAGAUAUGGACCAAAAUCUUUAAGGAGGUCUUCCUUUUUCUCUGUGCU
ensembl:lncRNA